rnacentral:rRNA from 1 species
CGGGGUGGAGUAACGCGUGGGUAACCGUGCCUCAUACAGGGGGAUAACAGUUAGAAAUGACUGCUAAUACCGCAUAAGCGCACAGUGCCGCAUGGCACAGUGUGAAAAACUCCGGUGGUAUGAGAUGGACCCGCGUCUGAUUAGCUAGUUGGUGGGGUAACGGCCUACCAAGGCGACGAUCAGUAGCCGGCCUGAGAGGGUGAACGGCCACAUUGGGACUGAGACACGGCCCAA